GUCCCAUGGAUCUACGGAGGUUUAAUGGACGUCCAUUGAACAUCCACUGAAUGCCAAUUUCUAUGUGAGGUGUCUUUCCACACAUGCAUGUUCCAUGUACUGUCCAGAAAAAUACAAAUACACAUGUUUAUCAAUUGGCUGCGGCGAUUGAUUCUGUACUGAAUAUAUUUUUCGGUUCUGCUUUUCUAUCAACACGUGUGUAAGAUUCAACGUGUAUCAGGAAUUCAAUGGACUCUUGAUUUUUUACAAACUAUAAUUAUCAUAAAAAGGAACACUUAUUUUCUAAAAUAUAUUUUUAUAAUUCAGCCAUAGUUAAAAAGACAGCGAAUUCGCUACAGGUAGACAACUUUGCUUUUUUCAUACGAGUGCAACAGUAUUGCGUACUAUUUUAAGAAGAAAGUAUUGAAUAACAAAAAAUGCAUUUAAUUCUUACUUUUCAGAAUGGUGUUAUUCUCAAUCAAAUGCUGCAGCUCAAACGAGGCAUACAUUCCAUAUAUUCUACAAUUUAUGAUAGAUUAUAAUAUUUACGGUAUGAAUUUAAUAAAUUCACAUAACGUAAAGUACAGACAGCUGUCACAAAAAUGCACGCUGGAAGAUAGUCAAAACAGGUUUUCCAUGGAUCUGUUAAACUCGCCAGUGUACCUACCAUUAUCUGUAACGAAACAGAGUAUAUGCAAGCUAAAAGUGGAUGUGCAUGCUUUGGAGAUUCUGAACAGGCAAGGUGUCAAUGAAAAAUUGUAGCUGAAUCCUGAUAUUGCCGCGAUAUAGGAAGAAGAGAAAGCUAAGAGGGCCGAAGAUGGUCUAGAAAACGCAAAGUCGCAAUUAUUGUAUCCUAAGAUCCCUAGUAAAAUUACUCUUUCUUCAACGAAGAGUGAUAUUUAUCAAGAGGAGAAAUUAUUGAUGAGACUGAACGCUGUAUUACAGAUCAGUGAGACAAUUACGUCAAAUACAACGGUAUUUUAGUAUCUUAUUGAAAUAUCUUAUUAAAUAGAAGAUAAUGAAAGUGCAUCUCAUGUUCUAAAUCACAACGAAUCUUUAUCUGAAGAAUAUCUUAAAAGAACAGUUUCUGAUAAUUAUAAAUUAUCGCAAUCGGUUUUUAGAGGCAACUCGAAGUCAAAGUAAUAUAACAGAUACUAGUAUUUGUAAGUACUUUAUAUUUACUAAUCCAUUACUGAAUGCAUCAUAAAUAUUUGUGACAUUUCUGUUAAAAUACUAAAAAAAUAUUUAUUUUGUAUAUAGCGGAUGCAGAUGAUAUAAAAUUGGUACAAAUAUUAACUAACUUAGCGGAAGAAAACGAGUUUGCGAGUAAUGUAGAUAAUAAUAAUGUUCUUGGGGAUCCCAUAUUCUGUAUUCAAUAAAUCAAUUAAAAAUGAUCAGGAAGUGGAGGAAGAAGAAAAAGUGGAGAAUUUACAUAUCACAAUUUAGAGUUGGACAAUUUAAGUUCUUAGGAAUUAAUGUGUAAUCAAAGAUCCGAUCAACGUUAACAUACGAUUACGGGAUAAUGAUUACGUUACGGAUAAAAAUACCAACGAUGUUAAUUUUCAAAGAGAAAUCAAUAUAUGCCAACAUCCAAUGUUCCUUCUACUUCUACUGCACAAGAUAUAUCUGUUACGUGUGAGCUUGCUUUGUGAAAAAUAUUUAAACGUGGAUCUAUAUAAUUCAAAUAGUUUUAUGUAUUAUAUUUAUGAGAAAUUUUUUGAUGAAUGCAUGCCGCAAAAAUUGGGGAAAAUGACAACGGUUGACCAAUCAAUAUAAAAUCACGAACAGAAAUCGAAGAACAGUGAAAAUUUAUUGAUUAAAAAACGUACAUAUAUUCAUAAAAGAUUUCUUUGGGAGAUGCUUUUAUGAACAACAAACGAUGUCAAUGUGGCGGUUGCUCUAUUUUAACAAUCGAAAUUAAUUGCCACAUGUUUAUAGAAUUAGAUAUCAGAGCUAAUAUUAAUUAAUUCUGAUUCAAAAUCUUGUAAAUUGGAAGAAUUACCGUCAAUGCUCAUGCUGGCAAAACAAUAUAGGUAUAAUUGUAUUACUUUAAAUAAAAUAAAUACAAUCGUUUUACAUUUUUCAAAACAGUAUGUAAGCGUUAUUUUAUAGUUUCAGACUGAUAGGACAUCCAGGUCAUUUUGUUGCAUAUUGUAGACGACUUUCAGAAUUGUGGGAGCAACACAACGUUUUAAGCAAUAAAGUGAAGCAUUGUACGCCAAAGAAACAAUUUCUCCUAUCGCUGCAAUUCAUAUAUAAAAUAUAGAACAUGAGAUACACUUCCAUUAUCUUCUAUUUCAAUAAGAUACAAAAAUAACGUAUUUGACAUAAUUGUCUUGAAUUCUCACUGAUCUAAAAUAAACAAUUAAACAAAAUUACACAAGCAUAUAUUAUAUUUUUAUAUCCUCAGUGUAAUGAAAUAAUAAAAUACCUGUUAUAUGA